GAGGGUAUAGCUCAGUGGUAGUGUGUGUGCCUGGCAUGCACGAGGUCCUGGGUUCAGUCCCCAGUACCGCCA
rnacentral:tRNA from 1 species